CCUACGGGAGGCAGCAGUGAGGAAUAUUGGUCAAUGGCCGCAGGGCUGAACCAGCCAAGUCGCGUGAGGGAUGACGGUCCUAUGGAUUGUAAACCUCUUUUGUCAGGGAGCAAAGGGCGCCACGUGUGGCGUUUUGCGAGUACCUGAAGAAAAAGCAUCGGCUAACUCCGUGCCAGCCGCCGCGGUAAUACGGAGGAUGCGAGGGUUAUCCGGAUUUAUUGGGGUUAAAGGGUGCGCAGGCGGAAUGUCAAGUCAGCGGUAAAAUUUCGGGGCUCAACCCCGUCGUGCCGUUGAAACUGGCGGUCUUGAGUGAGCGAGAAGUAUGCGGAAUGCGUGGUGUAGCGGUGAAAUGCAUAGAGAUCACGCAGAACUCCGAUUGCGAAGGCAGCAUACCGGCGCUCAACUGACGCUCAUGCACGAAAGCGUGGGUAUCGAACAGGAUUAGAUACCCGAGUAGUC
rnacentral:rRNA from 1 species